UUCGAGCGGCCGACGUCUGAUUAGCUAGUAGGUGAGGUAAAGGCUCACCUAGGCGACGAUCAGUAGCGGGUCUGAGAGGAUGAUCCGCCACACUGGGACUGAGACACGGCCCAGACUCCUACGGGAGGCAGCAGUGGGGAAUUUUGGACAAUGGGCGAAAGCCUGAUCCAGCCAUGCCGCGUGUCUGAAGAAGGCCUUCGGGUUGUAAAGGACUUUUGUCAGGGAGGAAAUCCCUAGCGUUAAUACCGCUGGGGGAUGACAGUACCUGAAGAAUAAGCACCGGCUAACUACGUGCCAGCAGCCGCGGUAAUACGUAGGGUGCGAGCGUUAAUCGGAAUUACUGGGCGUAAAGCGUGCGCAGGCGGUUUUGUAAGACAGGCGUGAAAUCCCCGGGCUCAACCUGGGAAUGGCGCUUGUGACUGCAAAGCUGGAGUGCGGCAGAGGGGGAUGGAAUUCCGCGUGUAGCAGUGAAAUGCGUGGAUAUGCGGAGGAACACCAAUGGCGAAGGCAAUCCCCUGGG
rnacentral:rRNA from 1 species